AGAGGAGCUUGCUCCCGGAUGUUAGCGAGCGGACGGGUGAGUAACACGUGGGUAACCUGCCUGUAAGACUGGGAUAACUCCGGGAAACCGGAGCUAAUACCGGAUAGUUCCUUGAACCGCAUGGUUCAAGGAUGAAAGACGGUUUCGGCUGUCACUUACAGAUGGACCCGCGGCGCAUUAGCUAGUUGGUGAGGUAACGGCUCACCAAGGCGACGAUGCGUAGCCGACCUGAGAGGGUGAUCGGCCACACUGGGACUGAGACACGGCCCAGACUCCUACGGGAGGCAGCAGUAGGGAAUCUUCCGCAAUGGACGAAAGUCUGACGGAGCAACGCCGCGUGAGUGAUGAAGGUUUUCGGAUCGUAAAGCUCUGUUGUUAGGGAAGAACAAGUGCAAGAGUAACUGCUUGCACCUUGACGGUACCUAACCAGAAAGCCACGGCUAACUACGUGCCAGCAGCCGCGGUAAUACGUAGGUGGCAAGCGUUGUCCGGAAUUAUUGCCGUAAAGGGCUCGCAGGCGGUUUCUUAUGUCUGAUGUGAAGCCCCCGGCUCACCGGGAGGUCAUUGCAACUGGAACUUGAGUGCAGAGAGAGAGUGACUCACGUGUAGCGUGAAUGCGUAGAGAUGUGAGACACAGUGCGAGCGACUCUCUGUCUGUACUGACGCUGAGAGCGAAGCGUGG
rnacentral:rRNA from 2 species